rnacentral:rRNA from 1 species
AUUGAACGCUGGCGGCAGGCCUAACACAUGCAAGUCGAACGGUAACAGGAAGCAGCUUGCUGCUUCGCUGACGAGUGGCGGACGGGUGAGUAAUGUCUGGGAAACUGCCUGAUGGAGGGGGAUAACUACUGGAAACGGUAGCUAAUACCGCAUAACGUCGCAAGACCAAAGAGGGGGACCUUAGGGCCUCUUGCCAUCGGAUGUGCCCAGAUGGGAUUAGCUAGUAGGUGGGGUAACGGCUCACCUAGGCGACGAUCCCUAGCUGGUCUGAGAGGAUGACCAGCCACACUGGAACUGAGACACGGUCCAGACUCCUACGGGAGGCAGCAGUGGGGAAUAUUGCACAAUGGGCGCAAGCCUGAUGCAGCCAUGCCGCGUGUAUGAAGAAGGCCUUCGGGUUGUAAAGUACUUUCAGCGGGGAGGAAGGGAGUAAAGUUAAUACCUUUGUUCAUUGACGUUACCCGCAGAAGAAGCACCGGCUAACUCCGUG